ACCGGGCGCCUCCUCCCGGACCAGGGGCCGGAGCCCGAGGAGCCCGGCGGAGGGAGCGCGCGGCGCGGCGGGCGAGGGUCCGGGGCCGCGGGGGGCAGCGCGGGCCUCCCGACCGGCCCGGCGCGGGAGCGCACCCGCGAGCCCCGGGAGAGCCUGGCCGCCCGCCGCCGCGGCCCCCGGUCCUGCGGAGCCCGCCGCCCCGCCGACGCAGCCUGGGCGCCCAGAUACAAACGAGUACCUGGUUAUAGUUUAACCCCAACUGCCUUUUCAGGGAAAUAAUGCAUACAUAUGAAGACAAUGCCUCAGUGAACAACAACAACAGAAGACUCUUGUUUCUUUACUGCUAUAUACAUGCAGGUAAGAAGUCUUAGGUAAUAAUCACCAAAAUGCAAAUAGUGAAUAGCUCUGUGGUGGGAUUAUGAAUAAUUUUUAUUUCCUCUUAUUUUUUCUUUAUAAUUUUAUUCUUUGUUGGUACAAAAAGUACAUAAAAUUGUAUGUCUCGGCUUCUCCCUUGCCAUGGUA
rnacentral:lncRNA from 12 species